rnacentral:rRNA from 1 species
UGAAAGGGCUCUAGUGACUGGUUAACAAAACCACAGGUCUCUGCGAAGCCGAAAGGCGAUGUAUAGGGGCUGACACCUGCCCAGUGCCGGAAGGUUAAGGGGAGGGGUUAGCGCAAGCGAAGCUCAGAACCGAAGCCCCGGUGAACGGCGGCCGUAACUAUAACGGUCCUAAGGUAGCGAAAUUCCUUGUCGGGUAAGUUCCGACCCGCACGAACGGUGUAACAACUAGAGCACUGUCUCGACGAAGGACCCGGUGAAAUUGAAAUAGGCGUGAAGAUGCGUCUUACCCGCAGCAGGACAAAAAGACCCCGUGGAGCUUUACUGCAGCUUGGCAUUGAGUUUGGGCAUAGUCUGUGUAGGAUAGGUGGGAGGCGGAGAAGCUGGGGCGUCAGCCUCGGUGGAGCCGACAGUGAAAUACCACCCUGACUCUGUCUAGACCCUAACCCCACACCGUAAACCGGGUGGGGGACCGUGCCAGGUGGGCAGUUUGACUGGGGCGGUCGCCUCCUAAAAGGUAACGGAGGCGCCCAAAGGUUCCCUCAGGCUGAAUGGAAACCAGCCGGAGAGUGUAAAGGCACAAGGGAGCUUGACUGCAAGACCAACGCGUCGAGCAGAGUCGAAAGACGGGCUUAGUGAUCCCACGGUACCGGGUGGAAGGGCCGUGGCUUACCGGAUAAAAGCUACCCCGGGGAUAACAGGCUGGUGAAGUCCAAGAGUUCACAUCGACGACUUCGCUCGGCACCUCGAUGUCGGCUCAUCGCAUCCUGGGGCUGGACAAGGUCCCAAGGGUCGGGCUGUUCGCCCGUUAAAGCGGUACGCGAGCUGGGUUCAGACCGUCGUGAGACAGGUCGGUCUCUAUCCGCUGUGGGCGUAAGGGAUUUGAGAGGAGCUGCCCCUAGUACGAGAGGACCGGGGUGGACAGACCGCUGGUGUGCCAGUUGUCGUGCCAACGGCAUCGCUGGGUAGCUAUGUCUGGCAGAGAUAACCGCUGAAAGCAUCUAAGUGGGAAACUCGCCUCAAGAUGAGAUCCCUCAUCCGCAAGGAGUAAGGCCGCAGGGAGACUACCUGCUUGAUAGGCGGCAGGUGUAAGUGCAGCAAUGCAUUCAGCCAAGCCGUACUAAUGGCCGAGGGCUUAACCUG